rnacentral:rRNA from 1 species
AGUGAACGCUGGCGGUAGGCCUAACACAUGCAAGUCGAACGGCAGCACAGUAAGAGCUUGCUCUUACGGGUGGCGAGUGGCGGACGGGUGAGGAAUACAUCGGAAUCUACUUUUUCGUGGGGGCUAACGUAGGGAAACUUACGCUAAUACCGCAUACGACCUACGGGUGAAAGCAGGGGAUCUUCGGACCUUGCGCGAUUGAAUGAGCCGAUGUCGGAUUAGCUAGUUGGCGGGGUAAAGGCCCACCAAGGCGACGAUCCGUAGCUGGUCUGAGAGGAUGAUCAGCCACACUGGAACUGGGACACGGUCCAGACUCCUACGGGAGGCAGCAGUGGGGAAUAUUGGACAAUGGGCGCAAGCCUGAUCCAGCCAUACCGCGUGGGUGAAGAAGGCCUUCGGGUUGUAAAGCCCUUUUGUUGGGAAAGAAAAGCAGCAGGUUAAUACCCCGCUGUUCUGACGGUACCCAAAGAAUAAGCACCGGCUAACUUCGUG